UACGGGGGAUCCGAGCGUUAUCCGGAUUUAUUGGGUUUAAAGGGUGCGCAGGCGGAAUAUUAAGUCGGCGGUGAAAGUUUGCAGCUUAACUGUAAAAUUGCCGUUGAUACUGGUAUUCUUGAGUGUAUAUGAAGUAGGCGGAAUUUGUAGUGUAGCGGUGAAAUGCAUAGAUAUCGGGAGGAACACCGGUGGCGAAGGCGGCUUUCUGGCCAGUUACUGACGCUCAUGCGCGAAAGCUGGGGUAGCGAACCGGAUUAGAUACCCCCGUAGUCCCUGAG
rnacentral:rRNA from 1 species